rnacentral:misc_RNA from 1 species
AGAGGGGCGGCCUUGCUC